UCCCUGGAGGACUAGUGGUUAGGCCAUAGCGCUCUCAACACCGCAGUCUGGGUUCGAUUCCCGGCCAGUGAA
rnacentral:tRNA from 1 species